rnacentral:rRNA from 1 species
UAGUGGCGAACGGGUGAGUAACACGUGGGCAAUCUGCCCUGCACUCUGGGACAAGCCCUGGAAACGGGGUCUAAUACCGGAUACGACACACGGAGGCAUCUCCUGUGUGUGGAAAGCUCCGGCGGUGCAGGAUGAGCCCGCGGCCUAUCAGCUUGUUGGUGGGGUGAUGGCCUACCAAGGCGACGACGGGUAGCCGGCCUGAGAGGGCGACCGGCCACACUGGGACUGAGACACGGCCCAGACUCCUACGGGAGGCAGCAGUGGGGAAUAUUGCACAAUGGGCGCAAGCCUGAUGCAGCGACGCCGCGUGAGGGAUGACGGCCUUCGGGUUGUAAACCUCUUUCAGCAGGGAAGAAGCGCAAGUGACGGUACCUGCAGAAGAAGCACCGGCUAACUACGUGCCAGCAGCCGCGGUAAUACGUAGGGUGCGAGCGUUGUCCGGAAUUAUUGGGCGUAAAGAGCUCGUAGGCGGCUUGUCACGUCGGAUGUGAAAGCCCGGGGCUUAACCCCGGGUCUGCAUUCGAUACGGGCAGGCUAGAGUUCGGUAGGGGAGAUCGGAAUUCCUGGUGUAGCGGUGAAAUGCGCAGAUAUCAGGAGGAACACCGGUGGCGAAGGCGGAUCUCUGGGCCGAUACUGACGCUGAGGAGCGAAAGCGUGGGGAGCGAACAGGAUUAGAUACCCUGGUAGUCCACGCCGUAAACGUUGGGAACUAGGUGUGGGCGACAUUCCACGUCGUCCGUGCCGCAGCUA